ACCGGAGCAUGUCUGGAAAGCGUGGGCGCAGAGGGUGACACCCCCGUACGGGUAACGUGCGGAUGCGGAUGCCGGCACCUGAGUAGGGCGGGGCACGUGGAAUCCUGUCCGAAUCAGCGGGGACCAUCCCGCAAGGCUGAAGACUGCCGAAGACCGAUAGUGUACCAGUACCGUGAGGGAAAGGUGGGAAGCACCCCGGGAGGGGAGUGAAAUAGAACCUGAAACCGUGCGCUUGCAAGCGGUCGGAGCACCAUUAUGGUGUGACGGCGUGCCUUUUGCAUAAUGAGCCUACGAGUUGCCUCACGCCGGCGAGGCUAAGCCAUUCAGUGGCGGAGCCGCAGCGAGAGCGAGUCUGAACAGGGCGUUCAGUCGGCGUGAGCAGACGCGAAACCUAGUGAUCUACCCUUGUCCAGGGUGAAGGGGCCGUAACAGGCUCUGGAGGCCCGAACCAGUUUCCGUUGAAAAGGGCUUGGAUGAGGCGAGGGUAGGAGUGAAAGGCCAAUCAAACUGGGAGAUAGCUCGUACUCCCCGAAAUGUCUUUAGGGACAGCCUCGUCAGUUUCCCGCGUGAGGUAGAGCUACCGAUUGGAAGCGAGGGCUUCGCCGCCUAUCAAUUCCAGACGAACUCCGAAUGCGCGCGGUGAUCUAUGACGGGAGUGAGUCGUCGGGUGCUAAUAUCCGGCGGCGAGAGGGUAAGAGCCCAGACCUCCGGCCAAGGCCCCCAAGAACGGUCUAAGUUGAGACAGAACGAAGUGGCACCGCAGAGACAGCCAGGAUGUUAGCUUGGAAGCAGCUAUUCAUUCAAAGAGUGCGUAACAGCUCACUGGUCGAGCGGAGCCGCGUGGAUGAUGAUCGGGCAUCAAGACCGUCGCCGAAGCCGAGGACGACGCGCCUUAGCGCGCGCCGUGGUAGGGGAGCAUUCCGGUCGGCGCCGAAGGCGCGGCGCGAGCCGUGCUGGAGCGUCCGGAAAAGAAAAUGUAGGCAUGAGUAACGACAAGAGAUGUGUGAACAUCUCCGCCGAAAACCCAAGGUUUCCGGGGCCACGCUAAACGGCCCCGGGUCAGCCGGGAGCUAAGGGUAAGCCGAACGGUGAUCCCGAUGCCGAUGCGGUCAACAUUCCGCAGCCGGCGCGCCAGGCGCACACGCGACCGAGGAGUGACACUGCCGCGGGGAGACGGAAUUCCCCGUUGAAGGCCGUAGGGAGACCGAAAGCCGACAGUACGGCGAGCCUUCGGGCGAGCCGACAGAGCAGGUAACCAUACUCGCGAGAAAAGCGUGUGCGCGCGAAGCGUCGCGCCGCCCGUACCGUAAACCGACACAGGUGGGUGGGGAGAGAAUCCUUAGGCGCUCGAGUGAAUCACGGCCAAGGAACUAGGCAAAUUGACCCCGUAACUUCGGGAUAAGGGGUCCCGCGGCGACGCGGGCGCAGAGAAAUGGCCCAGGCGACUGUUUACCAAAAACAUAUGGCUAUGCGAAAUCGAUAAGAUGACGAAUAUGGCCUGACACCUGCCCGGUGCCGGAAGGUUAAGAGGGGGGGUCACCGAAAGGGAAGCCCUGAAUUGAAGCCCCGGUAAACGGCGGCCGUAACUAUAACGGUCCUAAGGUAGCGAAAUUCCUUGUCGGGUAAGUUCCGACCUGCACGAAUGGUGUAACGAUCUGGGCGCUGUCUCAGCCGUGAGCUCGGUGAAAUUGUAGUGGCGGUGAAGAUGCCGCCUACCCGCAACGGGACGAAAAGACCCCGUGAACCUUUACUAUAGCUUAGCGCUGAUCUUGGACGUCGGAUGUGUAGCAUAGGUGGGAGGCUUCGAGGCGCGGCCGCCAGGUCGCGAUUAGCCGCCAAGUGAAAUACCACCCUUCCGUCGUCUGGGGUCUAACUUCGCGAGAAGGACACCGCUUGGUGGGUAGUUUGACUGGGGUGGUCGCCUCCAAAAGAGUAACGGAGGCUUCCCAAGGUCCGCUCAGGACGAAUGGCAACCGUCCGCAGAGUGCAGUGGCAGAAGCGGGCUUGACUGGGAGACAAACAGGUCGAGCAGGUACGAAAGUAGGGCAAAGUGAUCCGGCGGUUCCUCAUGGGAGGGCCGUCGCUCAUAGGACAAAAGGUACUCCGGGGAUAACAGGCUGAUCGCUCCCAAGAGCUCAAAUCGACGGAGCGGUUUGGCACCUCGAUGUCGGCUCGUCACAUCCUGGGGCUGGAGCAGGUUCCAAGGGUUCGGCUGUUCGCCGAUUAAAGUGGCACGCGAGCUGGGUUCAGAACGU
rnacentral:rRNA from 1 species